UACGUAGGUGGCAAGCGUUGUCCGGAAUUAUUGGGCGUAGAGCGCGCGCAGGCGGUCUCUUAAGUCUGAUGUGAAAGCCCCCGGCUCAACCGGGGAGGGUCAUUGGAAACUGGGAGGCUUGAGUGCAGAAGAGGAGGGUGGAAUUCCACGUGUAGCGGUGAAAUGCGUAGAGAUGUGGAGGAACACCAGUGGCGAAGGCGACUUUCUGGUCUGUAACUGACGCUGAGGCGCGGAAGCGUGGGGAGCAAACAGG
rnacentral:misc_RNA from 1 species